rnacentral:rRNA from 1 species
UAGGGAAUAUUGCACAAUGGGCGAAAGCCUGAUGCAGCAACGCCGCGUGCGCGAAGAAGGUCUUCGGAUCGUAAAGCGCCUUUCUGGGAGAUGAGAAAGGACAGUAUCCCAGGAAUAAGUCUCGGCUAACUACGUGCCAGCAGCCGCGGUAAAACGUAGGAGGCGAGCGUUAUCCGGAUUCACUGGGCGUAAAGCGCGUGCAGGCGGUUUGGUAAGUUGGGCGUGAAAUCUCCCGGCUCAACUGGGAGAGGUCGUCUAAUACUACCAGACUAGAGAGCGGUAGAGGAAAAUGGAAUUCCCGGUGUAGUGGUGAAAUGCGUAGAUAUCGGGAGGAACACCAGUGGCGAAGGCGAUUUUCUGGACCGUUUCUGACGCUCAGACGCGAAAGCUAGGGUAGCAAACGGGAUUAGAGACCCCGGUAGUCCUAGCUGUAAACGAUGGACGCUAGAUGUUCCUGCGUUUAUGCAGGAGUGUCGAAGCUAACGCGUUAAGCGUCCCGCCUGGGGAGUACGGUCGCAAGAUUG